rnacentral:rRNA from 1 species
UACGAAGGGGGCUAGCGUUGCUCGGAAUCACUGGGCGUAAAGCGCACGUAGGCGGGUCCUUAAGUCAGGGGUGAAAUCCCGGAGCUCAACUCCGGAACUGCCUUUGAUACUGGGGAUCUUGAGUCCGGAAGAGGUGAGUGGAACUCCGAGUGUAGAGGUGAAAUUCGUAGAUAUUCGGAAGAACACCAGUGGCGAGGGCGGCUCACUGGUCCGGUACUGACGCUGAGGUGCGAAAGCGUGGGGAGCAAACAGG